CCGCGAUAGGCCACGAUUUCUGGAAUGGAUCAUGGCUGAAAUCUACAUGGCCGCUGGAUUGGACUACGGCCGAUCAGGCUGUUGGUGAGGUAAUGGCCCACCAAACCUGUAACCGGUACGGGCUUUGAGAGAAGGAGCCCGGAGAUGGGCACUGAGACAAGGGCCCAGGCCCUAUGGGGCGCAGCAGGCGCGAAACCUCUGCAAUAGGCGAAAGCUUGACAGGGUUACUCUGAGUGAUGAUCGCUAAGAUCAUCUUUUGGCACCUCUAAAAAUGGUGUAGAAUAAGGGGUGGGCAAGUCUGGUGUCAGCCGCCGCGGUAAUACCAGCACCCCGAGUGGUCGGGACGAUUAUUGGGCCUAAAGCAUCCGUAGCCGGUUCUGCAAGUCUUCCGUUAAAUCCACCUGCUCAACAGAUGGGCUGCGGGGGAUACUACAGGGCUAGGAGGCGGGAGAGGCAAGCGGUACUCAGUGGGUAGGGGUAAAAUCCUCUGAUCCACUGAAGACCACCAGUGGCGAAGGCGGCUUGCCAGAACGCGCUCGACGGUGAGGGAUGAAAGCUGGGGGAGCAAACCGGAUUAGAUACCCGGGUAGUCCCAGCUGUAAACGAUGCAGACUCGGUGAUGGGUUGGCUUUGUGCCAACCCAGUGCCGCAGGGAAGCCGUUAAGUCUGCCGCCUGGGGAGUACGGUCGCAAGACUG
rnacentral:rRNA from 1 species